AUUGAACGCUGGCGGCAGGCCUAACACAUGCAAGUCGAGCGGAUGAAGGGAGCUUGCUCCUGGAUUCAGCGGCGGACGGGUGAGUAAUGCCUAGGAAUCUGCCUGGUAGUGAGGGAUAACGUCCGGAAACGGGCGCUAAUACCGCAUACGUCCUGAGGGAGAAAGUGGGGGAUCUUCGGACCUCACGCUAUCAGAUGAGCCUAGGUCGGAUUAGCUAGUUGGUGGGGUAAAGGCCUACCAAGGCGACGAUCCGUAACUGGUCUGAGAGGAUGAUCAGUCACACUGGAACUGAGACACGGUCCAGACUCCUACGGGAGGCAGCAGUGGGGAAUAUUGGACAAAGGGCGAAAGCCUGAUCCAGCCAUGCCGCGUGUGUGAAGAAGGUCUUCGGAUUGUAAAGCACUUUAAGUUGGGAGGAAGGGCAGUAAGUUAAUACCUUGCUGUUUUGACGUUACCAACAGAAUAAGCACCGGCUAACUUCGUG
rnacentral:rRNA from 1 species